rnacentral:tRNA from 1 species
GGUCCUAUAGUGUAAUGGUUAUCACUCAGGACUUUGAAUUCUGCGAUCCGGGUUCAAGCCCCGGUAGGACCU